rnacentral:misc_RNA from 1 species
AGAACAUCAGGGUCAACUCCAACAGAUCCCUGUGCACGACCAGCAGCUGCAGCAACUGUCAGUUCUCUUUGAAGGCCAGCUAUCUGCUGUGACAACUGAGCUUCACGAGCUCUCAACUGGUGCAUCCACCCAUAAACUUCAUCACGACUCUUCAUCAAAAGCUGUUCAGUUCUCCUCUCCACAGAAACUGCUUGGGCGGCACGCGUUUGGGAAUCCACCCCAACUCGUG